AGCGCCGCCAUGUUCCUCUGGAGGCACGGCGAGGGCCGCCGGUCUCGGGACGUUUAAAGGGCAAAUUAAAGUUAUCUGGCGGCUGUGGGGAACGCGAUGUCAGAGCAUGUGCCUGCUGUAUUAAUAGCUCGCAGGAGGCACCCGAGGGGACCGAGAAAGCUUGCAGGAAUACCUCGGGCGGCAAUAACCGUUUGUAGGGGCUGGCGGCCGGCGCUGAGGGUGCUGCAGGCGCAGGCUUUGUGUGCGUGGCCUCGAACCUCUGCGGUGCGUGCUGCGGGAGGGCGUCGGGCUGCCGAGCCACCGGGGAAAGUGAUCAUAGAAUCACAGAGUGGCCUGGGUCAGAAAGGACUGCGAUUAUAAUCUAUUUUCAACCCCCUGCUGUGUGCAGGGUCGCCAACCACCAGACCAGGCUGCCCAGAGCCACAUCCAGCCUGGCCUUGAAUGCCUCCAGAGAUGGGGCAUCCACAGCCUCUUUGGGCAACCUGUUGCAGCAAUGUGGCAGUGUGCACGUGUCUGUGAGCAUUUGGGGGAACUAGAAACGGGUGCAGCCUCUGCAAGGCAAGGACAUGGAAUCUCCUCGUGUCUGAUGCAGUGUGAGCCUGCCAGCCUUGAGGUCUUCAACAUCCCGGCAUGUUCCAGAGGCUGCCUUCCCAUAGACGAGGCAACGUGCCCUGGUUUCAACCCGGCAAGGUCAGACCCUCUGCAAGCACUGCAGUCAGUCACCCCUCCAGGAAGCACGUGCUUGGAAAUGCUCAGGUUGCUUGACUCGCACACUGUGUGAGAGAUCAGUGAGGACUGCAGCAAAACCUUACCUCUCUUCAAUGCAGAGGGAAGCACUUCAGUCUCAAAUGCGGGUUACGUGGCCUUCUUCACAUGUUCCCCCUGCCUGAUGUCUGUACAACCUUGUGAUUCGCUGUUGCAUGGAGUAGUUAUGUGAAAGCCAGUGUAAAAAAUUCUAAGUGUAUACCAAGGAAUUUGCCUUAAAACAGUCAUCAUAUGUGGUUCUAGGAUGAUGCUGUACUGAGGAAAGCUAAGGUUAAUGAGGUCAGCCUUAAUUCAGUAAUAUAGUAUCAAUAAUGGAAAUAGAAUUCAUCUUAAUGUAGGUGCUAAAAGAUUGGCUGUUCCAUGAAGAGACAUUCCCUCCAGGACAGCAAAUCUCACUGACGUCUGUGUUUAGCACAAGGCAAUGAGACUGUAAAUUUGAUCCCCAGCCUCUCUUGCUCUCUGCUGCUCUCUGAGGUAGAGGUCUUUUCUCAUGAACCUCAGCAACAGCAGCUUUAACGCUGCACACCUAAGCCACCAUGAGCAAGAUGGAGUCUUUCCCUAGUUCUAAGAAAUGGAAAGAGAGGUUACCUGAAAAGGCCUUUUUCCCAAGCAAGAACUGAAAGCAGGUGCAAGCUGGAAGCACAGGGGCUCCCUAAAGUUAGACUGGAAGUAAAUAUCCUUUUGACAUCUCAGGGCUUCUGCUGCUGGUUUCACAGGAACCCACAGGAUGGCAGUGUUUGCAGUGCUGCCUAGCUGGACGAGGUCUCCUCACUGCAUGCAGGCAGGUUUGGCGUGGAGAUUACUGAUGAAGAGUUUGAGCUGCUACUUGACAGAAUCCCCCUUGAUGAAGAUGGAAGUGUCAGAUACCCCCAGUUCAUGGCCAGGUUUGAUUCCCGAUUGCUUCAGCUGUCAUGUCCAAGUAAAUUCUGAAGUUGAGAAGCCAACGUCCCUAAAAGAAGCAACAUUCAUCUUAAUGAGUUUUUUAAAGGCUGCCUGUUUUUUGAUGUUCCAUUGGUAGCUACAGCCUAUGCCAGAUUUCAGAGACUGUGACCAAAGGCAGAGUGACAAAGAUGAAGGAUGAAUGUCAACCUUAAGUGUUGUAUUUGAGGAGCUAAGGUGAGAGGUCAGCUACAAGAGGGCCGUGUGGAAUUGUCCUAAUCCGAGAAGAGCCACUGCCUCCCUGUGUGAUCUGACAGACUGACAUAUCACUUGACCUCGGUCACGGCAGCUGUACAACGAGGUGGAAAAGGCGGCUGAUGGACAACCAGGGGAUGCCUUUCAGCACAGCUUCCUCGGGGUAAACCACGGACAAACGCAUGGCUUGGCUUCUUUCUUACUCAUCCAUGAGUUUUAGAUCAAAUUCAGAUUUUGCAUAGCUUUUCUUGGAUUUUUUUCUUUAACACAGCGGAAGCGAGGGUGACGCAGUCACCUACCGCAGGUUCUCUGGGGCAGAGCGGCAGCCGGGAGGGCGGCUGUUGCAGGCAGCCGCUCCCGCUCGCUGCCUCGGGAUGGGGGGCCGCGCUCCCCGCCGUGGCGCUGCCGGGUCUGCAGGGGGCGCGGCGGCUCCGCUGCAGCUGCAGCCGCAUGAUCAGCCCGGCCCCCUCCCGGCGUCCUCAUGUCGCCGUCCGACGCGUUUAGAUCUUCGCUGCCUGGGAGGAGCGUGCAGGCACGCGAGGUGCUGCGUCCCCGACCUGAACUGAGGGCAUCUCCAAUCCGCGGCAGUUUUACCAACUGGUAGCAUUUAGAACCUCGCUUUUAGGCGUUGCGUUAGUUUCUCAGCAGUUGUUAGCCAUUAAGUUAUUGCAGCUGGGCAGAUUUUUAAUUAAACUGAUACUCUUAGUGCUUUGUUUGUUUGUUUUCCUAGAAGAUUCUAAUCAAUACAAACUAUAGGCCAAUGGCAUCCUGGCUUGUGUCAGGAAUGGUGUGGUGAGCAGGACUGGGCAAAAGUCAUCCUGCCCCUGUACUCGGCACGGGUGAGGUCUCCUCGAGUACUGUGUUCAGUUUUGGGCACCUCAGAACAGAAAGGACAUGGAGGUGCUGGAGCAGGUCCAAAGAAGGGCAAUAAGGCUUCUGAAGGGCUCGGAGAAUAUGGCCCAUGAGGAGAGACUGAAGGAACUGGUGCUGUUCAGUCUGGGGAAAAGGAGGCUGAGGGGAGACCUUAUUGCUCUCUUCCAAUAUCUGAGAGGUGCUUACAGUGAGAGCAGGGUUGGUUUCUUCUCACUGGUGACAGGACGAGGGGAAAUGGCCUCAAGUUGCGCCAGGGUAAGUUUAGGUUGGAUGUCAGGAAAAACUUCUGUACAGAAAGGGUUGUGAAGCACUGGAAUGGGCUCCCCGGGGAAGUGGUUAAGUCACCAUCCCUGGAUGUGUUUAAGAAGCAUCUGGAUGUGGUGCUCAGGGACAUGACUUAACGGAGUUGUUAGAGUUAGGAUAGUAUGGUAAGGUUGUGGUUGGACUCUAUGAUCUUUAACGUUUUUUCCAACCUGAGCAAUUCUAUGAUUCUAUAUUUUCACAUAAUUAUCUCACAUAUAAGUGUAAGACACAUCAUGCUUGUUGUCUCUGGAAAGGGCAGAGUGUCUGUAUUAUGAUCUUCUGUAAACUUCUUGAGAGGCCUCUGUUGUAUCCAGCACAAUUAUUCCCAACUCUGUGCCUUCUUUUCCUGUAUGUUUUCUCUUCAUAGCAAACUGAACUGUUAUUCUGCAGGACCACUAGGAAAUGUCUGGAGACAAAGACUGAGUGCCAGACAUCUUUCUGAUUCACGUCAUUCCUUGAUGACACCCAAGCAGAGCUGGGCUGCUGGGCAAUGGAAGCUCUCCCUGCACUAUUUUAUCCAUUAGCUCAGAUACAGUUGAGAAGAAUUUAUACUAUGUGAAAGAACACAUACAAGUUGUGAGCAACCACGUGGUCUGAAUGUUAAGGAUUCAUCCUUCCUCCUACAGAAGGUAUUUAAGGUCAUGUUUUAAUAUUUGAAAAACAACUUGUGCUCCUGAACUGUUACAUUUUUUAGGACUAAAUGUGAACAGGGCUUCAGUGAAUAGAUGCACUGCUAGUUGAAGAUGCUGUAGCAGCUCUGACACUCCAAAUUUUGAAGCUGGGGACUAAAUCGGUGUUUCACUGAGCAGCACUUGCACAUUUUGAGUGGUAAGGAAAAUACAAAGUAUAUCUGAAAAUGCAUGAUAACAGAGAAUUGUUGCAGCUGGAAGGAACAUCUGGGAAUCAUCAAGUCCAACUCUCCUGCUAAAGCUGGUUCCCUACAGUAGGCUGCAACUGUCAUCAUGGAACAAACCCAAAAGGGCAGAUCUGCACUGUGCUUAGUGCUGCGAUGUUUGCCUUGCUGAGUGAUCAGCAAAGCCAAACUUCCUCUUCUUAAGGGUCUUUGGAUCAGUUAUUGAUAUAUUCACUAGUGCAAAUUGUCUGGCUUUGACAGGAAUUUUUAAAUAAUGUCUUUCUUCACAAUGUCUUGCUUUUGCUUGUCUCUCUUUACAGUCUUCUGCAUUUUGUCCCUUUGCCCUUAGCCUUCAGCUGAUGACUGUUAGAACAAGAGUCACCAUCCAUUCAAAUGCACUUAAUCUGUUGUUCUUUCUUGUUUAAAAGCAUCUUGUGCUUUAGUGAAGUCUCUAGACCUGCAAGGAAAGGUCUUCUAUCAAAAAGGAAAAAAUUUGACACUUGAGAGCAUAAUUUUCUUUGUUGACUCAUUUUAUCACUUUGUCUAUCUUUUAAUCAUUGAGGAGCUGUAAAAAUCGAGGUACCCAGCUGAACAUAAAAACACCACACCAGUUUUGCACUGGCUUCACUCCUAUCCAUAUACAGAAUGCCUUUACAUGGAAAAGGCAAACAUCCCAGGAGUCUGUAAGAAGUAGGCUGUAGAUGUUACAGCUUGAAUUCAUGGGAGGACUUCCCUGGAGCCUGAACCACAUCCCUCCAGCUGAAAGGAGAGCCCAGCCUUCCCUUUCUGAAAGGUUGGUACAAUAUCUAGCUACACUCCUUUAUCUUCUGUGUUUUAAAAAUGCCAGGAUUGCUGAGAAGUUCUAGGCAGAAUGGCUCUGUACAUCCAAAUCAUACACUAAUGAUAGAAUUAAAGAAAACAGUGUUAAGCUGUGAUAUGUCUUAAAAAAAACCCCAAAGCAAAAGGUGCUUGAGUGUCUGACCUGCAUGUAUGAAAGUAGAGGCAGAAACAGCGCAUAAACUCAUGCUUUGUCCCUUGGCAAGGAUGAGACUGUAGCAUAGUCUUUUGAACUUAGUGAGUUUUGAGCUUAGUGUCCUGCAGAGUGGUCCAUGUGGUUUCUGAAUUUAAAAUGAGUGGGAUUUUUGUUUGUUUGUUUGUAACAAGAGAGCACUGAAAUAAACCCACAAUGUUAGAGAAGUGUGAUUUUAAUAAUGUUCAGCAGCAUGAGAUCUCUACUUUCCACUCAGUUCUGUUCUCCAUUGAAAAACUUUUGCACAGGAGGAGCUCUGAGAAACCUUUGGUAAUUUUAUAUCCUGUAUUGACUUGCCAAUAAGGGCAUUUGCUCACAAGAUUCCCUUCAAGGCUAAGUGUUGAAUUCCUGGCAUUCCCAGAAGACUUAUGUUGAAUUGUAUGAAUUUAGCUCUUUGCCUAUGUAACUAUGGAAAGCUCUGGAUGUUCCAGGGUCUCCCUGCUCUAGUUUGUCCAUAUUCCAUUGCUUAGAUUUGCCUCUCUGGUGUCUUUGUAAUCUGCUGCACUACAGCUUCAUGAAUCAAUCUGGGCCAUAGGUGCCAGAAAUAGUUGAUGAGUGGCUGCUAUGCAGUCAGGGGGCAAUUGCAUACGUGUAGAGCAAAGGGGAAUCUCUCCUGGGCAUCAUUUGGCCGUGAGUGCUGAUGAGUGCUUAAACUAAGACAGUUUAAGCCAGAGACAAUGCAGGUGAAUUGGAUGGUCUUCAGAACUUGAAAUUCAGUACUACUUUGUGCCCUUAUUGCUACCAGUAAGUAUUUCUCUUGUGAGCUGGGGCUCUCUCUGUAUGAAUAAUGAGCAGGAACAUGGCUGGGUUGUUGCAGCUUGUGCCUGAGAUGGCUGAGCUACCGGUGCUAUGUGACUCUGGAAAAGGCAGGUGCAGCUUUUGGCUCACGCCAUUUCCAAAGGCACUGAGGAGAAGCAAUGUGAAAUGCUGUGUACAGUAUGAGCAUAGCAUUCCUGACAAAGUCCCCCAGUACCUCUUACAGUGAUAUGAAAGUGGUUCUCACUAAAGAUAACUCAGCUGCUAUGAGUAAGGACUAGAUAUGCCUUUUUCAAAAAUGGACUGGAACUGGAGAAACUGCCAAGAUUUUAUGCCCACGUGACCAAGAGAGAAAAAUAUAGGGAGGGAUUAGAAUGCUUAGUUUCUUUAAAUUGGCAAAAUUGGUAAUGGGAGGAGUUAUGGUGGCUGUCUGUACAUGCAAAAGCUUUUAAAAACUGGGGAUUAUAAGACUUUGUCUUAGCAGAUUGGCAGACUAGAUUUUUAAUAGAGCAGAAGGGAUCAUCUGAUCUAUAUAAAAUCAAAUGAAACAGUUCCAUCUGACUCAACUUGAGCAGGUAUGUUUGUAUUCUCUUUUCUGCAAGGCAUCCUGGCAGCCUGUGUACUAAGACCAGAGCUCAGGAAGCUCCUGAUUGCAGCGUGUCCCAGCAGGCUGCAGAAGCUAAGUGAGAGCUUGUUUGUGAUGUGCUGGUGUUCAUAUCGAGCAAAUUCAUCCUUGCUCAUUAGUAUUCAAGGGAGAAAGGAAAGUUGUCUGUGGGAUGACUUUCUGCAUAACCUGUGUUUUUGCCUUGGUCUGAGAAAUUCUUUCCCUGACCUUUUAAUUGGAGGCAAUGUUUUAGAUUUAGUAUUAUUAAAGAUGUUUGCUCUUUAGAAUAUCUUUAGUUUUCUUAUUAGUACCCCUUACUCCCCAGUGGCAUAAAGAGUACUGUGUUUUGAGAAGAGGACCCGAGAAUGGCCCACACAAGAGAAAUAAAAGCAAAGCUGAAGUAUGCGAGAUCGCAUUCUACACGAACCUGCCUGUCUUGUUUUAAGAUGUGUAGAUUUGUCCAUCUUGUUGAGCAGUUCAGUUACCCCCAGUGUAGCUCCUGAUGAUUGUCCUGAGGAGAGAUAAUUCAUCGUGAUCUGUCCAGCCAAAAAACCUGCAACUCAUUUCUGGAUUUAGGGAGAAAGCUUCCUUGCCAGUUGGUGUCAACCUUCAAGUAUGUCUCUGCAGAAGGACAUAAAACCCAGCAGGACUCCCUUAUCACAUGGCAUUAACUGAGGUGGUGCUGUCAUUUUCGAUACAUUUGACUUCUUGCCUCCAACCCCCAUGCUGAGAUCUCAUGUUCCUUUUUUCCCCAGGGUCAUGUCUUACAUAGAGUCCCCACUGUGGCUUUGCUCUGCUGGGUCAAGGGAAACAUGAGAUGAUGAUUUUUGCCCUUUCCUCUUAAUGGUUAAAAUUAUAGAAGGGGUAAGAAGAGGUCUGUAUGGAUUUCAUCUUUGAGAUUGAUUUUAUAAUGACAGCGGGAACAGGGAAAGACAGACCCACUCCAAGGCUUUUGGCUUCCCACACCUUUCAGAAAGGGACAGCAGGAUGACAUCUCAUGCUCUGUAUCUGUCCCAGAUUGUGACUGUUUUCUUGUGAAGAGCAAAUGCACGAUUCAAAGAGUGCCUGGCAAAAGCUUCUUCUAGUUCUGCAGCAGCAGCACGGGAAAUAUUUCAUGUAUGUAGAAGAUGGAGCAUCCCUGUAGACUGUUGUUUUCUGCAACCUUUUGUAAGUUUGGGGAAAAGUUAUUAAGUACUGUUUCUAUUUCUUUCUUUAAAAAAAGACAGAGAAAAAGCCUGCAUUUUCUGCCAUUUCCCAAGAGGCUUUUUAUCUGUUUAAACCAACUAGGGAUUUUUCACAUAUUGACAUAAGCAUUCAUUUGCUAAUUUGCUGGACAUUAAACUGCACAGCAUUCUUGAAUGAGGCUGGAAUACUUGGGUACUUAGUGCUGCUCAGACCCCGCAUCAUUCCCAGUACACAUAUGGUUUUCCUCCUCUAUCUCCUAGAUAAAAGUCACUGUUUGAUCGCCUUAAGGGAAAGAAUGAGUUAAAUGGACCAAUAUUUUAGCCUUGGCUCUAAAACUGGGCCUUUUCAGAAACUCCUCAGCACCUGCAGCAGCUAGGUCAUUUGCACAUACAUAAAUAAAUAAAUUAACAAUGAAUAAAUAAUUUAAUCCCACCAUACAAUGCCACCUUGCAGAUCUGAUCCUUUGCUCCCAGUGAAUUUGUCCAUUCCUAAUUCUUUUUGAUAAAGUCCUCAGAUACUUGCUGACUGUCAGUCUAAUUUUCUUAUUGUUUUCGCUUGAUUAGUUCUGUAUGACCUAAGGUCGCCCUUAAAAUCCACAUCUCUCGUGAAGACUCCGAAAGGCCUUCUUUUUUUUCAAAGGGAUGGAAAGUGCCUGCCAUUUCUCCGGACAAAAGCCGGGAAGGUUUUCAGUUAUUAGCCUCCUGAAGCAGCCCUUUCGCUCACCCAAGCGCAAAAAAAACUCAUUAGGGGGCACCUUUCUUUCUGCCUUCUUCAUCUGAUGCGUGUUGGCUUUACGUGUUUCAAGAUUUCCAGGUCUCGGAUGGAUUUGGCCAGCCUCCCUUUUAACCCUGCCAGACUGUGGUGGUGCCCUGGACAGAGAUUGGUUGAACCACCUGGAGAUGCUCCAUCCUUUCAGCAGCUGUUUUACACACUCUGUUCUGCUGUUCUGUUGAGUACUUCUGCCCGGCACGCAGCACUGCCAUACCUGUGCCUGCCUUUUAAGAAGAAAAGCAUCCCAAAAGUAAACUGGAAGAAAGGGGCUGCCUGGUCUCUGAUGAAGGAUCUCUACUUUGCCUGAGAUCUGAGCCUAAAGGGAAGAAAUACUCAGGAGCAGAAGGAAGAUGAACAGGGCGUAAAGAGAGCAGUGCCAGUGGAAUUUUUGUGGACAAAUACUUUGUGUCUUGCUCCUGCAACGCUAUUUCUCCUUGUCCUGUCCUGACAAGCAGCUGCUCUUCCAGUCCCCUGGGUUAAAACCUGUUUUGGAAAACUCAGGACUGUAGCUAAGGUCUCAGUUCCAAGCAUGUGGAACGACAAUUUAAUAGCCACUAGUCUUGCUACUGGCUGUUUUCAAGGCCAAGAGAAAUUCUCUUUCUUAGUUUGGAAUAGCAUACUGUUGCAACCACUAUUUUUUUUGCCAGUUCCUCUGAAAUCCCCAUGAUACUGACAAUUUACUUCCACUCUUUUUUACCAGUUCCUCUGAAACCUGAGGGAGAUCAGCCCUCCAUAAAAUCAAGCCAGCCAAAUGCAUAAGGCUGGAUCUGUAUGCAAGUCCUUGCAGGUUCCAUACUACCAACUCCAUUACUCUUUCUAUUGGCAUAAAUUCUGACCAGCUGUCAGCUUGAACUUAGGGUAAAAUAGUGUGGAAGCUAUGUGACAAGAAGAAAUUGUGUCAGCAUGAUACCAGGCAGUCUUGUUUAUACCGUUUUGCAUCAGUGUCCCUUCCACCCAAACCAUUUAGGGAUAUUCGAGCUUUCUGAAUAAACUUGACACAUUAGUUAAAAAGAAGCUUGAAGCUUUGGAUGAAAUUAACUUCUAGUGUCUCAUUCAGAACGCUGUGUACAUUCUGUUGAAGAAAUCCUGCUAAAAAUAAGCUAAAACAUUCUGGAUGAUGCUGUGCCUGGAGCUCUGCUCAAUGUCCCACACAGAGAGAAGAGGAUUGGCUUCCACUGAAACCAAUGGCAAAUUUCUCCUGUACUAUGUACGUACUUUAAAUUCAGGAUUUACUGAUUUUGUGUGCAGGUUGUUCAUACAUGGAGUUCUGAAGCCUUUUGCUUCUUUUUGACCAUGUAUAAGAACACCUCUUCUAGCAAUACAUGCAACAAGUACAAUAGAAACAUCUGUCACAGGUUAUGGUGACUGGAAGACUCUCUGAAGAGCCUUUAAGAAGCCACGUAUUGGCAGCUGAACUUCAAUCCAUCCAAAUCUUCACAGCUUUCUGCUAGAAGAGGAUGAAAUUGACCACAUGCCCUCAAAAUUCAUCUCAAUCUGAAAAGGCAAGUUAAUUCCAAAUCCAUUUUGGGGAAAAAAAAAAAAAUUAUGACAAACAAAAAGCAAAAAAAUAAUUUUUAAAACUGCUACAAAUUAGAAUAUUCCUUUGAGAAGAAUGACAGCCUUUAUAUUCUCCCAGUUGCCUAUCUUUCUAGCUACAUCACAUUUAUUUCUCUUAUUUAUGUCCCCUGUCUUUUGAUUGUGGAUCAUAUUCAGUAUUGUAUGUCGUGUUGUGAAGAGGUGGUAGAAGCUCUGUCUGAGAGCUUAAAGCACAGCUGAAAAUAAGGCAGUUAUGACUGUAUGUAACAUGUGUCAUGUGACUAAGAAAACGAGCUCUCUGAGAAGGAGAGGCUAAGUUGCUCUGUGGAGCAGCAGAUUGCUUUGAGAAAGUGAAAUAUUCAAGCUGCUUUGAUGCUGGGAGCCUCCUCACAACAGAAGAGUGUUCCUUUGGCCUCACAGAGUUAGCUUGAGUCCUGCACAUGCAUGUAGCAGAGUAGAUUAUUUUGUCUAGUUGUGUCAUCUUUUCUUCUUGGGGGAACAGUUCAUGCCUUCGGUAUAGCAGGCAGUAGGGCCUGCUCUGCAGUUCUUCUGCACGUGUGACUUCACUUUCACCGUCAGAGUAACUGAGUGUUUAAGACCAAGGUAGGUUUUUAUUUUCCAUACAUGUUUGCAGACACAGGGCUGUGUGGCUCAAUUAGUAAAUUGAGCACCGAGAGCCACUGAAAUAUGGGUCACUUACCUGUUGGGUGAGGUCUCUGCUGAGGCAGCUCCGUCAUGCCUCCUCCUCACGUAAACAGCCCUAGCUUCAGGGGUCUCCAGAGAGCUUUGUCUACUUGCAGGAGCUAAGGAUUUGGUCCAGAAUAUACACAAGUAGGUAAACAGCUUGUUUUUUGUUCAUUUGCUUUAAUAUAAUGACUUUUCUGCAGACAAUAAUUUGUAACCAACUUAAGCACUGGUACCCUUAAGCAACAUUUAAUUGGUUUUCAUGCAUCUUAGCCAUCUAACAGGUUUUAUUUGGCUUUCCACAACAAAAAAUAUACUUCUGGUCUUGUUCUUUUUCCAAAUACUUCCCCGUCCUUCUCCAGGCAUCAAAGAGAAUAACAAAGCUCCAAUAAAAGGUGGAGGUUUUUUGUUUUGUUUUUUAAUCUCUUUCUUCUUUUAAAGAAACAAGAAGGUAAUGUAUGAAUAAAGUGUGUCAUGUAAGGAAAUUAUUAUUACAUCCUUCUAUCAAAAGAGGUUCUAUAGUGGAACAUGCAGGACUGGUGAUUUCCUUAGAACUUUCCAAUAUACAUUUGUGUUGUAUAUAAUGUAUGUUGUUUCAGGUUCUCCAAAGGCUUGUGAAAAUGUGUAAUCUGUGCUUGAUGAAUCUCAUUGAUCCCUGAUAGAUUUCCUCUUUUUGAAAGUGAAGACAUGUGAGGUUAGUUCUGUAGGUUUUACCAUUGUUCUUUCUACAGAUCUCGGUCCUGAAAACCCAGCAGUGGAUUUGGAAGUAAAGGUGAAUUGUUCCUGUCCUAUAUCCUUUGACAGCAAAAUUCUGCACACUGACAUUCACGUGCAGCUAUCAUGAUGUCACUGUUGUAAGUCAGUAAGGUUGUACAGGUGGACAUUUUAGUUUGGGGGAAAAAAAUUAACAAAGAGAUCCAUCCUGUAUCUUAGCCAUAAAAUACUGACCCUUGCAGGCUGAUUUCUGUGAAUUCAUCCUCUGGAAUGGCACUAAUGCAGCAUACGUGGGAAGUUAUGAGGCUCCAGCAAACCCACAUUUAAGCAAAGAAUCAGCACACUCUACUAGGAAAUGCUGAGAAAAACAAAACUGAAUCCAACCAAAUGGUGGCACAGGUCCUAUAUAGGCUUGAUGUGUAUGUAGGGCCUCCUUUCAGUAUCUAAGGGGCUGUAAGGAGGGGGGCAGACUCUUUAGCAGGGUCUGCUGUGACAGGACACGGGGAAAUGGUUUCACGCUAAAAGACAGGAGAUUUAGAUUGGACUUAAGGAGGAAGUGUUUUACACUAAGGGUGGUGAAGCACUGUCACAGGUUGCCCAGAGAGGUGGUGAAUGCCCCAUCCCUGGAGACAGCCAAGGUCAGGCUGGAGGGGCUCUGAGCUCCUGAUGGAGCUGUAGGUGUCCCUGUUCAGUGCAGGGCAGCUGGACCGGAUGGCCUUCAAAGGUUCAUUAAACUCAGAUGAUUCUGGGAUUCUGUGGUACUGCUGUUCAUUUGUGCGGUACCCCAAGCACACACAUGUCCAGGAGAGAAGUAUGCUGGUGUGAGGGCAGCAGUCCUCCCUCCCUCUUCCCUGGAUGGAGAAAGUACCCCGACACUGUCACUGUCUGGAGCUCAACUUCAUGCUCACAAUUCAAAAUUGGAAGUCUGCUAUUUGAUGUCUUAAUCACCUUAUGCCUCUCAGAGGGCUAACCAGGGUACGCUGUUUUGUUUGAAUUCAACAGAAGUGGCUUCAGAGGGACAGAGUGAUUAUGAACAUGGUCUCUCAAAGAAGACCCAGGUUUUAGCCUCAAAGACUUCAAGCCUGAGACUUCAGCUUCCUAGAAGAAUGCCUAAGCCUAGGGUUAGGGAUAAGGAGCCACAGGCUGCUGAGCCACUGAAGGCACUUCCUGCCAUAAGCUUGGCUGGGAGGGCUUGGGUUGAGCUGCAUCCUCCUCUAAAUGCCUGCACCCUUCAAGGGCUGACAAUGUGGGUGUGCGUCGAGGCUCACAGCUGAGCUCAGAGCCAGUGGACCGAGAGUCUCCAAACACAGGACUGCAUUGUGAGUGGCUGUAACUCCUCUCACAGGCUCUGGGUGCAGCCCUCAGGCUCCACAAUGUUCACCAAACAUGUAAUGGCUAAGUUGUGGAUCCCAUCAUGCAUUCCCCGUUCCCUUGCAGGAUGCCCUCAGUAAGGAAGGCUUUUAUUAUUAUUAUUAUUACAUUACUCAUUUCCUAGAAGAGGACUGCACUUUUAAGUAUGUAUUAGUUAUUAAAAAUCAAAUUGCCUUUUAACUUUUAUGGCUUAUCUCUGAAACUUGAAAUUUUUUCUAGAGAGAGUAUUUAUUUCAUCCCAGUUAACUGCAUUACUGUUGCUGAGAUAUACUGCACGUUUCCAUUGCUGUAGUGUAAAGAUGAAUGUUAAAAAUACAUUCAACUGGAUUUGGUAUUCUGAGUUGGAAUCUCCUAAGUUACUCCUCUUUCCUCACGUUUGAUGUAUGUGAUGUUGCUGUCUCUCACCUUUUUUGUGAGUUUUGGUUUAAUGUGCCACUGUGUGGCAUAUGGGUAGAUACCAGAGCUUUAACCUGUGUGUGUAUUAAAAUGCAGUUCUUUUUGCUAGAAAUAAAUGUGAUGAUGUCAGAGGGGAUGGAUGCAGCAGGCUCAUCUGUGAGCUCCACUUCUUGCAGCUCCUCUUCAGCAGACACACACCUGUCAGCUUCGGAGGGCUCCUUCCCACAGACCGUCUCUGCAGAGGAGUUGCUGGGGCUGUACCCUGUUGCACGGGCUCUGUGUCUGAGGGUGGGAAGCACACAGUGUGGUGCUGAAGCCGUGGUUGUGCAUGAGGUGUGCUGCAAAGUCAGGGGAAGUGGGAAGCACUCUGCUCUGUGCUGUGGGCACGCUCAGCUCACAAACCUGCUCUUCACUGUGAAAUAAGCAUGGCAUGGGAACAUUCUUGCUGGUUCUGGGCCUGUUCAGAAUGUAAACUCUGAAUGUAGAGUGGAUGGAUGCAAGCUGCUUGUGUGUCUCUGUGACCUAACUGGUGAUGGUUUAUUCCCAAAUAGCUCAAAUAAAUCCUUCUGAUAAA